rnacentral:rRNA from 1 species
CACAYGACUCUCGGCAACGGAUAUCUCGGCUCUCGCAUCGAUGAAGAACGUAGCAAAAUGCGAUACCUGGUGUGAAUUGCAGAAUCCCGCGAACCAUCGAGUUUUUGAACGCAAGUUGCGCCCGAGACCUUCUGGUCGAGGGCACGUCUGCCUGGGCGUCACGC